GAUGAACGCUAGCGAUAGGCUUAACACAUGCAAGUCGAGGGGCAUCGAGGGUAGCAAUACCUGUCGGCGACCGGCGCACGGGUGAGUAACGCGUAUGUAACCUGCCCGCAACAGAGGGAUAACCCGGCGAAAGUCGGACUAAUACCUCAUAAAACAGGGGUUCCGCAUGGGGCUAUUUGUUAAAGAUUUAUUGGUUGCGGAUGGGCAUGCGUACCAUUAGGUAGUUGGUGAGGUAACGGCUCACCAAGCCAUCGAUGGUUAGGGGUUCUGAGAGGAAGGUCCCCCACACUGGUACUGAGACACGGACCAGACUCCUACGGGAGGCAGCAGUGAGGAAUAUUGGUCAAUGGGCGAGAGCCUGAACCAGCCAAGUCGCGUGAAGGAUGACUGCCCUAUGGGUUGUAAACUUCUUUUACAGGGGAAUAAAAUGAGAUACGUGUAUUUUAUUGCAUGUACCUUG
rnacentral:rRNA from 1 species